rnacentral:lncRNA from 1 species
GUGAUGUUAAAAGAGGGCUUUAAGGCCCCAGAAUACAGAAUUGAAUUUAAAAGCAAGUUAUGACCUUUUGGGUCAUCACACAACUUCUGAUAAUUUUGGCCCCAAGAAUUGUCAUCGUAUUCUGUAGAAAUGAUGAGAAAGGUAAGAUAAAUAAAUAAAUAGUUAGAUAAAAGAUGAAAGCCCACUAUAAGAAGAACAAGAAGGAAAACAUUAACAUGCUUUUCAGAUUGAUGAAACAGAACUAAUUUGCAUUCUUACCUACUGAAAAUGUGGAAUCACUUGGAAUUAUGAUCAAAUACAAUAACCCAAAAGACUCAAAGGCAGUGCAACACAAAGAUAAAGUGUGGGCAAUUAGAAUAGGAAAAGCAUGCAAUAUCUGAGAUUUAGUCACACCUUUAGAGAUACUUUUAGACAAUUUUCUAGCUCCUAUCAACUCCACCUUGUUUGAAUCACUUGGAAAUGGACAAAUGUUCACUAUCAGACUAUAUGAAACGGUUAAAGAUUAACAAAUCAUCUGAAAUCAACAUUUCUGCAAAAGCAUUUGAUCGAACACCUAAAUUGCAAAAUACACUUCCACAUUAUUAGUAUGGGAAGUAAAAUAACCAUGAAAGCAAAUCAUCAAAUCACACAUAUGAACGCAAAAAUGUCGGAUAGAUUCAAUACCACUGUGCAAAGAACAGUAGUCAGAUUUCAAUCGCCAUAGUUGGCUAGCAUUUAAUAUGCCGAUAGUAAAAUCACACAUAAGAUAUCAGUUCGCAUAUUUCGUUCUCCAUCAGGGACCUCAAGUCAAUGGCUUCACGACUGCAAAAAAAGUUUAAGUUUUUUUUUGAAAGAAACACCUCUCAAGGCUCAAUUCUUUGUGGAUAGGCUACCCCUCGUUUUUUUAUAAUAGGUAUAUAGAGAGGGGCGAGAGAGAAGAUAGAGAGAUGAUGAAGUUACCUAGAAUGGUGGCCGAUUAUGGUGAGAUAGAGAUGCGUUGGGCAGCAGGAACGAUGAUAGCCUUUACAGAGCCUACUUUUGAAAUAAUUUCGUGAUAUACAGAAAAGACCUAAAAAUAAUUGGU